rnacentral:rRNA from 1 species
UACAUGUGGGGCAAGCGUUGUUCGGAAUUACUGGGCGUAAAGGGCGCGUAGGCGGGAUGGCAAGUCGGUCGUGAAAUCCCUCGGCUCAACCGAGGAACGUCGAUCGAUACUGCUGUUCUUGAGGAUUGCAGAGGAGACUGGAAUUCCCGGUGUAGCGGUGAAAUGUGUAGAGAUCGGGAGGAACACCGGUGGCGAAGGCGGGUCUCUGGGCAAUUCCUGACGCUGAGGCGCGAAAGCGUGGGGAGCAAACGGG